rnacentral:rRNA from 1 species
AUUCCAGCUCCAAUAGCGUAUAUUAAAGUUGUUGCAGUUAAAAAGCUCGUAGUUGAAUUUUGGACCUGGUUGAAUGGUCCCGCCGCAAGGUGGGUACUGUUUGAUUGGGUCUUUCUUUGCGGGGAAUUAGUGUGCUCUUAAUUGGGUGCAUUAAGGAUCCGUAACUUUUACUUUGAAAAAAUUAGAGUGUUUAAAGCAGGCUUAGGCCUGAAUACAUUAGCAUGGUAUAAUAGAAUAGGACCAGUGUUCUAUUUUGUUGGUUUCUAGGACGUAGGUAAUGAUUAAUAGGGACAGUUGGGGGCAUUAGUAUUUAAGUGUCAGAGGUGAAAUUCUUGGAUUGCUUAAAGACUAACUUCUGCGAAAGCAUUUGCCAAGGAUGUUUUCAUCA